AUUGAACGCUGGCGGCAUGCUUUACACAUGCAAGUCGAACGGUAACAGGCCGCAAGGUGCUGACGAGUGGCGAACGGGUGAGUAAUGCAUCGGAACGUGCCCAGUCGUGGGGGAUAACGCAGCGAAAGCUGCGCUAAUACCGCAUACGAUCUAUGGAUGAAAGCGGGGGACCGUAAGGCCUCGCGCGAUUGGAGCGGCCGAUGUCAGAUUAGGUAGUUGGUGAGGUAAAGGCUCACCAAGCCAACGAUCUGUAGCUGGUCUGAGAGGACGACCAGCCACACUGGGACUGAGACACGGCCCAGACUCCUACGGGAGGCAGCAGUGGGGAAUUUUGGACAAUGGGCGCAAGCCUGAUCCAGCAAUGCCGCGUGCAGGAAGAAGGCCUUCGGGUUGUAAACUGCUUUUGUACGGAACGAAACGGUCCGGGUUAAUACCCUGGGCUAAUGACGGUACCGUAAGAAUAAGCACCGGCUAACUACGUGCCAGCCGCCGCGGUAAGAC
rnacentral:rRNA from 1 species